UUAUGGACUCUUGUUAUGGACACACAGAGCCUUCAGAUGCAUGCAGUUUGUACAGGACACUGUAACUACAUUAUACAUAAAAUAUGUAUCUGGUUGUUGAUGCUUAUCAAUGCUGCUAGUCUGGAUUCCGAGAAUGGAGAACCCCACUGAAUUAUGUAACAUAUCAUCUCAAUUGUCUGCAAGAAGUAUUCAGCACUCCUCCCCUGCAUCAGCUGACUCAGCCCCUACACCAGAACUUCCCUUGAGAACGUCAUCAGCUCACAGCCUUGAUGGCUUUCUAACAAGAAGGCGAAGUGAGUCGCAUACAUAUGAAACCCAAGGUGACUAAUAUGAGAAAUUUGGUUAUUUCAUCCCAACAAUUCUGUGGAGUUCACAGACAUCAGCAAGAACCAACCAAACUAGUCCACCCAGCUCCCCCCCCCCAGUGAGGUCCCUGGGGAAAUGAAAGUGAAUUUGUAUCUCUCUGAUCUGAGUCUGUUUACCUUAACCACUGCAGAAUUAUAUCUGGGCUGCAGUCUAAGAAGUUAUUUGGCUCCAGAUAUGUACCUCUAGUCCCUCAUUAUACAGUCAGAGUUUUCGAAUAAAAAUCAAUCUUCAGCACUCUUCAAAUUGUACAGAUCAGCCAAAAAUAAAAACACUGAAACACUACAAUGCAGUUUGUGUUUCACAGAAGCCAAUCUAACUAACAAGACCAUGUAACUUAUUGUCAUUAAUCAGGAAUGGUGCUGCCACAGAUUCAUCAUGAUUAGUUAUAGGUAAUUCACAAUCUUGGUUGAAAGGAAGUGAGGGUGCUGGGGGAAGGCGUGGUGUGGCAGUGAUAUGUCCAUUUUUGCUAACUGGUUUGGUUGGCUCAGCAUUGGGAUAGUUAGGAAUCCACUACUGUAGAAAUAAACAUAAUCAAUUGAAUACAUUUGACAAGCCCUUUUGACUUUACAGUCAGUGACUGCACAGUCAAUAGCACCCCUGUGAUUGACUCCUUUCAUUUACUUGGAUGUCUUUUGGACUGUGUCCCACCCAAAAAGUCAAGCUUAUUUCCAAGCACAUGUGCAUUAUUAGACUGUACUGUGAAACUCUUACCCCUAAUUUUGCUGCUUUAAAAUAUUUGUGACAACUGGAAUGGAAUCUUCAGAAAUAAAACCCGUGUCUGAUGCCAACAUUUUUAACAAUAAUUGUGCUAUACAAGAUAGUUUGAUUCUAUACAGAUUUACCUGAAAUUAUAUUUGAUUAACAGCCUAUCAUAUGGAAGGAUUUAAGAAUGUACU